rnacentral:misc_RNA from 1 species
GAUGAAGAACGUAGCGAAAUGCGAUACGUAAUGUGAAUUGCAAAUUCAGUGAAUCAUCGAGUCUUUGAACGCACAUUGCGCCCCCUGGUAUUCCGGGGGGCAUGCCUGUCCGAGCGUCAUUGCUGCCCUCAAGCACGGCUUGUGUGUUGGGCCCCGUCCUCCGAUCCCGGGGGACGGGCCCGAAAGGCAGCGGCGGCACCGCGUCCGGUCCUCGAGCGUAUGGGGCUUUGUCACCCGCUCUGUAGGCCCGGCCGGCGCUUGCCGAUCAACCCAAAUUUUUUAUCCAGGUUGACCUCGGAUCAGGAAGGGAUACCCGCUGAACUUAAGCAUAUCAAUAAGCGGAGGA